rnacentral:lncRNA from 1 species
AUGCAAGAGGUACUGACACUAGAAGAACAGCAGUCUCAAGAAGCUGCUGAGGAGAAACGUGAAAAAUCUGAGGACGAUGAUGAGCGGCUUCCACCUGAAACUGAACAAGUGUCUCAGGAACAGUCCGGUGAUUCUGCUGGUCAUAAAGAAGAAUCCAAUCAUACAGAACAUAAUCCACUUGAAGAAGAACAGACACCUAGCAUGCAACCUGAGCAAUCCACUACGUCUUUAGUAACUGAACCUGAACCAGGUUAGAACAUUAAGUUUCUUUGCAGUGUGUGCUAGUUUUCUUAUUCUUUAUUUCUUCCUAUAUUGACAAGUUCUAUGUGAGGUAUGACCAUAUGGAUUGUCUGUCAAAAAC